UUAUUCCUACGGGGGGCAGCAGUGGGGAAUAUUGGGCAAUGGGCGCAAGCCUGACCCAGCAACGCCGCGUGAAGGAAGAAGUAUUUCGGUAUGUAAACUUCUAUCAGCAGGGAAGAAAAUGACGGUACCUGACUAAGAAGCCCCGGCUAACUACGUGCCAGCAGCCGCGGUAAUACGUAGGGGGCAAGCGUUAUCCGGAUUUACUGGGUGUAAAGGGAGCGUAGGCGGUUUAGCAAGUCAGAAGUGAAAGCCCGGGGCUCAACUCCGGGACUGCUUUUGAAACUGUUGAACUAGAUUGCAGGAGG
rnacentral:rRNA from 1 species